GUGAACGCCCUCACGGGCUUAUACUAUUCCAAACCUCUGUGAACCAUGCCCUUCGGGGCUAUUUUACAAACAUGGUGUAAUGAACGUCAUAUAUCAUAACAAAACA
rnacentral:misc_RNA from 1 species